AUAAAAAUGAACCAUUGAAUCUAUUGGCCAAACUAUAUAAAAACAAUAGAUUCUUAUGUUAACAAUGAUUUCUGUGGUAUAUGUAUUGUAGAGGACAUUUUAAAAUUUCUAUUGCCGUAACGAUUACAAUAGAUCAACAUAAGAUUUAAUUGUUACAGUGAUUUAUAUGGGUAUACAGUAGAUGAACAUAAGAUUUCUUUGUUACAGUGUUUUCUGUGGGCAUACAGUAGAUUAACAUUAGAUUCCAUUGUUAUCAUUAAGUUUCACACCGAACUCCAUGGCACUCGAUGAGUGUCAUGGGAUUAGGCCGAUUUUGUGUAACUUUCACAUGCGUUUGUGUUAUGAAUUUUAAGCGUGUUUGUUGUUGCGGUGAGUUAGAGCGCAAGUCGCAACAGAAAAAAAAAGCAAAAUGCAGCACUCAUUUCAUCAAUUUGAAAGUACGUUUCAGUGGCUUCCGGCGUUGCACAAAAUUGGCUCCAGUCUGGUCACUAUGACCGAAUCCAUUCGGCAAAACGCCGCAUGCAAAGGAUCGUGCAGAUGAUUUCAGGAGUCUGUUGGACGUGCGAGCAGCAGAUGUGUUACACAUGCAGUUUUCCCCUGGCAGAGCGCAAACGGCACACCGUCGAUGUAGCUGUGAAGAGAUCUAUCGAGUAGCGACAGAGCCUGGAUUUGAAGCAAAGCUAUCACAUUGCAGACGACGCAGAUGGAUGUGCAGAACCGGAGAACGCUCGAGCGUUGCGAAUCUUGCUAGUAGAGUAAACCUUGGAGUAAACUACAGCGUUGGCAACGUUCGACAGGCAAACGUCCACCACCUCGGCACUCUCCAGCACGUCCAGCGUUUCAUCGUACAUUCGGCUGAGGAUGUCGCUUCGGUUCACUUCCUGAGGCAGGGUGUAGCGGUGUUCUUCGUGAGACUUUGCUCGUCGUUAUUCAACGACAACUCUUGGAGCAAAACAAGGUCUCGGCAUCCGCCAGCGUUAGCUGCUGCUUCAGAUUGUACCGCUGCAUAACCACCGUGACGCUCCUCUGGACAACCUCCAUCAACCGCGUCCUUCGCCCAUGAAGUACUAAAUCAUCGAAAGGUACAUCGUCUGAAUAUCCAGCGUGAUCUGCUUGUCUUGUCCAACAGUGCCCUUGUACAGGUACCCGCCCAGCAGUAGGCCGUGUGAGUGAAGCGUUUCUGGCGGAGUAUACAGAAUUAAGUUUUAAGCGCUUAUAAAAAGAUUAUAGCGCAUUAUCCAAAUGAUCAACACAUAUUCUGACACUAUUGAAUUCCAAAAGUUAUGUUUAUGGUCGAGUUUAUGGUAUAACUUAGUAGCUAAAAUUUGCUCUGAUCUUAGAGCAGUAUGAUAAAGUAUAAUAUCCUGAACGAAUUAUAUUUACCAAUAACUGUGCUAGAUACCUUUAGCUCGAUUUUUAAAAUCGUCAUUUGCGUUUGGACGCUUAGAUGGGUCUUCAAAUAUAGGUUCACUCUUUAAGUGUGGGGGCAUGUAUGCAUUUGAGUUAAAUUUGAUGAUUUUUCCAUAGAUUAACUAUCAAAUUUGACACACUUGUAUGCUUGUUCGCCAAACUGCAGUCCAUCAAGUGUCUUUAAGUGCUACAAUAAUGGUGAAGCACGCUGUAAUGUUACUUUCGUACCUCAUCACCCACUUAAUGCAACUACAUUAGUGGUCUAAUAACACUUAGCGCGCUUAGGCACGGUUCCAUCAUGCCGCUUAGAGUGUUGCCACAUAUAAUGCUAAGUUUGCUAAACCCAGUUAUCUGGCUGGUGGGGCAUGGGAGCCUAAGCUUCUACCAUUGAUGCAAUUAGACGUUACUUGGACUAUGACAAGAGCGAUCCGAAUAUUUCAAAAUUCAUUCAAACUAUUUAGAAGCUUGUGUAGACCAAAUUUUACAAACUUAUUGUGUGCAAUCAUUUAUGUACCAUUAUAUCAUUGGAUAUGAAUCAGGAUUAAAAUCAUGUCUUGUACACUUCGAACGAUCUUCUAAUAUAGGUUCAAGCUGUAGUAUAUCGAGUAUUUUUGAGUGCUACAAAAACGAUUAAGCACGCUGUAAUGUUACUUUUGUACCUCAUCACCCACUAAAUGCAACUACAUUAGUGGUCUAAUAACACUUAGCGCGCUUAGGCACGGUUCCAUUAUGCCGCUUAGAGUGUUGCCACAUAUAAUGCUAAGUUUGCUAAACCCAGUUAUCUGGCCAGUGGGGCAUGGGAGCCUAAGCUUCAAUCAUUAAUGCAAAUCAACAUUACUCGAUUUACGACAAGAUUGAUCCAAAUAUUAGAUAAUUGUUCGAUCUGUGUUCUUAAAAUGUAGCCCUGAAUGUAGCAUAAAAUAUACAAGCUUUUAGUUUAAAUGCAUAAAGAUAGUUCAGAUUCACUCUUUUUCAGUUUUUUUUCAAGCUAUGUAUCAGUAACAAAAAUAAAAAGCAGAAAUAGAUCAAACCAUUCCAAAAUGUCCAUAUUCGUUUGUAAGAUAAAACUAUUCCAAAACAUUAGAAUUUUCUGUUUCGCAAUACAAAACAAUUCCCAAACCAUUGGAUAGGGCAAAACAGUAUGUUCCGUAAUCACAAUUGAAAGCAAUUCCAAAACAAUAGAAUCUAAUGUGUAAUUAAGUCACUGCUCGUUUGUAAGAUAAAACUAUUCCAAAACAUAAGAAUCUUCUGUGUCACAAUAGAAAACAAUUCCCAAACCAUUGAAUCAAAUGUGGAACCAGUAAUAAAAUUACUACUCAAAACAAUACGUUUACCGUGCAAUUCACUGUUUGAAACAAUUGGAAAACAUAAGAAUCUUCUGUAUCACAAUAGAAAACGAUACCCAUACCAUUGAAUUCAAUGUAAACACAGUACACACAGUAUGUUCAGUUUUACAAUAGAAAACAAUUCCAAAACAAUUGAAUCAAAUGUGGAACCAUAAAUAAAAUCAUUACUCAAAACAAUACGUUUACUGAGCAUUUAAUUGUUUGAAACAGUUCGAAAACAUAAGAAUCUUCUGUUUCACAAUAGAAAACCAUCACUAAACCAUUGAAUCUAAUGUAAAAUCACACUUCAAAACAGACAGUUCUCGGCAUAUUUAACAGUUCAAAACAAUACAAAUACAUAAAAAUCUACGGUAUAUUUGAUUCCACGUAUAUGUAUUAACUACAUUUGAUUUACAUUAGAAUCUUCUGUUUUGCGAAAAAACUUGUAUGGAAAAAAGUCCUUUUUUGUAUUGUUACGAUACUUAACAACCUAUACAAUUCAAUGUGAAAUGCUCAUUCACAUUUGAUUCUAUUGUUAGAAACAUUUGAUUCUAUUGUUUUUCUAUUGUUAUUUUAACAUUGAAUUCUAUUGUGAGAGCAUGGUUUUCAAUGGUAAUGUUACAUUAGAAUCCUAUGUUUUUCUAUUGUAUUUUUUA